rnacentral:sRNA from 1 species
GAAGCACGUAUUGCCGGCAUUCAACAGGCGGCGCUCUUUGCUAGGUGUCAGAAGUCACGUCCUGACGCUCGCCCAGUGCAGCUGAAUAAGCUGGAUGCUCAUCUGAAAACAAAAGGUUGCUCCCUUCCCUGGAGUGGGGGUUGACUCAUCCUGUUCCUGCACACUGUUUGGAGUUUGUACGCCCAGGACAGCACAGAAGCAGAAACUUCGAGGCCGGUGGAGUGGGCUGAGAUGCUAAGAGUGACCAGCUUAUAUAUCCACAGAAGUCACGGGACUGACUUUCACAUGGUAAAUAGAUCUCAUCUAAUGCCUAGUGCUUCUGGGGGAGUUUUUCUACCAGAGAAGAAACAUCAGCCUGUAUCCCUUCUGCUUCAGAGUCUUUCACUUCUGAGCCCACGACCUGGGUGAUCUCUUAUGGAAUCCUGGAGCCUGAAGGCAAGAGCAGGCUGGAUGAAGAGGCACCGAACUCAGGAGCAAAAUCCAGAGGCUGCCCCAAAACAUCAAUCAUUGAAAUAAAUAAUAUUUUAAUGCAGUGCUUAAUAAAAUUCAAAAUUAGCACACCAAUCCACCAUGAAAGCCUCAAGCACAGGCAGGCUCUGACAGGACCGGGAUCAGAGAAAGAGUCCAACUUGCAUGCAGGUAGCAUUGAUUUCUGCUACUGCUUCAUGUACCUAACAAUGCCCAACAGCACAUUUGUCAUUAGGAUGCACAUCGAUGAUCCAGAUCUCCUUGUGUACAGCAAUUUGUUGCCACUGCAAACAUUUCUUUCCUCCCCUUCCCAUCUCUGACUUUCUCUUCUGCUUGCUCCAGAUUAUGCAAGAUGGGAUAGAUCAAAGAGCGUCCUUGACUCACAGAGGACUUACCCAGGCUACGUACAGCUCAUCAGCUCCUCUAAGCCCUAGAACCUGGGUCUGGCCAACUGACAAUGUUCUUAAGUGCUUUCCUUUCAUAGGGAUCUUUGUCCCUCAAUACAACAUUGGCAGCACAUUUAUUUACUCUCUGCGACAGACUCGCAGCAACGCUCGGCUGGGACACUCUCUGGCUCCGCGAGACUUAGCCAGACACUGUCUAGAUCUGUGAGUUGAAACAUUUCCCAUCAGCCUCCCUCCCUUGCACAACCGAAACCUCAUGCACACUCAUCUCCUCGCAUCCUGUGCCAAGUUCUUGCUUUAUGUCCACAAUUUCAGAUCCAUCGGGUGCUUGGGCAAGGGGCCCAAUAUGAAACCCUAAGUAUCUUCUUGGCUCCAGUUUCCUCCUUGGUGCCACUGCCAACUCUUUCUCCCCCAUGUGGUUCUGUGCCCUCACUGGUGUAGAAAAUAAAGGUUUUCCGAGCUUCUAAGAGGAGAUAUCACACUCUUUUGAGACUGCAUGACUUCUCCUCCGGAACCACAGAAUCUUUCCUAGUGGUGUAAAUGUGAUUUGAACCUGGGGACUCAGGGGGAUGUUCAGAUGUACUGAUGGACAGGUAGGAAUACCAUGCAUUCCAAGGAAGGAUGUUUCCAAAGGCAGUUUGAUGGAGUAGGGGGAUGCAGAAGAGAACUACAAAGUUAAGCCUUUGUUUUGAUGGAUAGGAGAAAAAAAGUUUGCAAUACCACCAAGAGUGAAUGCAUACAUGAGAAUAGAAAGACAAUUUUAUGUACUGUGUGGAGAGCUGAGGAAUGUAGUUCAUAAAUUUAAUAUGUAUGAGUGUUUUUCUUUUACGUCUGUAUAUGUACCCCUGGUGUGCCUGGUGCCGGACUCCACAGGGAGCAUCAGAUCAUCGGGAAUUAGAGUUAUGAACGGUUGUGAGCCACCAUGUGGGUGCUGGGAAUGGAAGCCAGCUCACGUGCAAGAGUGGUCUUAAUUACUGAAACAUCUCCAACCCCAAGGGACCUCUCGAGUGGAACAAGAGUUCCCAACAACUACGUGGUCACUGACAUCUCAAAAAAAAAAAAAGCUAAUUUUUAGAGGAGAUGCAGGAAAGAAGACAGGACUCUUGGUCCCUCAUGCUCUGCACUUCUGUGGCAUAUGCAAGGGUGAUUAAGGGACAUCUAAGAAUGUAGUUCACAGGGAUUCAAAGACUGAAGCUCUCCUGCAGAUUUCUCAGACAUUCUGUGUUUGAAUCUAGGAGACUGUUAGAGCCCUCAAUUUCCCUUCCACACCCUAGGAAUUUCUUCUGACAUUGUUUAAAGUUGGCUCUUGCGGCUCUGUCAGAGCUCUGGAUGAGGAGUGGUGUACCUGAAGCAGGGACAGAGCGGGCAGAUAAUAGAUGUCUAAGACCCAUCUUGUUUCGAGUCUGUAGUUUAUUCACGGGUAAAUGUAUUUGGACACCCCUCAAACUGCUGAGCUUAUGUGUACCAACAUCUACUUCACCACUGAGGCUCUAGGAGGUGACAUUACAGGUAGGUCCUGUUUUAGCCCUGGAGGCUAGAAAUUCAUUGGUGCAGAUCAAACAUCUGAGGACACACAACAGAAUAUACACACACAUGACUACUGUGCUCAAGGGAUGUAAAACCCAGGAGGAGAGACAGUCACAUGAACAACAAUAAAGGUAGGAGGUGAGUCUAAAUGGAGGGGUGUAGAAAACUCUGCAGGAGCUUGGGCACUCAUCUCAGAAGUUAAGUGGCAUGAGAGAGUGUUGUCCAGAGUGGGUGCCCUUGAGACUGUGGUUGUCAAAGGCAACCGAAGUUAAAGGUCAAAGAUAAACACUCAGCUGAAACAUAGGUUGGCGCUUGCAACUCUUUGGUAUCUUAGAUCUUCACCCCUCCCUGCUUUUGAUUGGGUUUUGUCGUUUUCUUUUCUUCCAUGAAAAGAACCCUGUAAAGCACAGCCUACCUCUGGGUGUUUGCACUAGGCAGAGAAGGUUGUGUCACUGGCUUCUGAAGACGUGCAACUAGAAGAGGGUCUCACAGUACCCACUUUGGGACCCAAGGUGAGCUUCCAGCCAGGCAGACGGAGAACCUGGAGGAACGGUUUAAAGAAGGCAGGGUUGGGCUGGGCUCAUAGUGUCAGAGAUGUGAGUCUGUGGUGAACUGGCUCCAUUGCUGUGUGCCUCUGGGGAGGCGGGGCUUCGUGGCUGUCAGAGUCUGUGGUAGACCAAAGUUGCUCGCUUCAAGCCAGCCAGGAAGG